GAUGAACGCCGGCGGCGUGCCUAAUACAUGCAAGUCGAGCGAAUGGAUUAAGAGCUUGCUCUUAUGAAGUUAGCGGCGGACGGGUGAGUAACACGUGGGUAACCUGCCCAUAAGACUGGGAUAACUCCGGGAAACCGGGGCUGAUACCGGAUAACAUUUUGAACCGCAUGGUUCGAAAUUGAAAGGCGGCUUCGGCUUUCACUUAUGGAUGGACGCGCGUCGCAUUAGCUAGUUGGUGAGGUAACGGCUCACCAAGGCAACGAUGCGUAGCGGACCUGAGAGGGUGAUCGGCCACACUGGGACUGAGACACGGCCCAGACUCCUACGGGAGGCAGCAGUAGGGAAUCUUCCGCAAUGGACGAAAGUCUGACGGAGCAACGCCGCGUGAGUGAUGAAGGCUUUCGGGUCGUAAAACUCUGUUGUUAGGGAAGAACAAGUGCUAGUUGAAUAAGCUGGCACCUUGACGGUACCUAACCAGAAAGCCACGGCUAACUACGUGCCAGCCGCCGCCGUAA
rnacentral:rRNA from 1 species